rnacentral:rRNA from 1 species
GAUGAACGCUAGCGGCAGGCUUAACACAUGCAAGUCGAGGGGCAGCACGGAAGUGGUAACACUUUUGGUGGCGACCGGCGGACGGGUGCGUAACGCGUAUGCAACCUACCGACAACUCGGGGAUAACGGAUGGAAACGUCCACUAAUACCUGAUAAUAUCAUUGGAGGCAUCUUCGGUGGUUGAAAGAAUCUUGGUUGUUGAUGGGCAUGCGUAACAUUAGUUAGUUGGUGGGGUAACGGCUCACCAAGGCUACGAUGUUUAGGGGGACUGAGAGGUUAACCCCCCACACUGGAACUGAGACACGGUCCAGACUCCUACGGGAGGCAGCAGUGAGGAAUAUUGGUCAAUGGGCGAAAGCCUGAACCAGCCAUGCCGCGUGCAGGAAGACGGCUCUAUGAGUUGUAAACUGCUUUUAUACGAGGGUAAUUGCGCGCACGUGUGCGUGUUUGAAAGUAUCGUACGAAUAAGGAUCGGCUAACUCCGUGCCAGCCGCCGCCGUAA